rnacentral:rRNA from 1 species
CACCUCUAGCAUUACCAGUAUUAGAGGCACUGCCUGCCCAGUGACAUUAGUUAAACGGCCGCGGUAUCCUGACCGUGCAAAGGUAGCAUAAUCAUUUGUUCCUUAAUUAGGGACUUGUAUGAAUGGCCCCACGAGGGUUUAACUGUCUCUUACUUUCAAUCAGUGAAAUUGACCCUCCCGUGAAGAGGCGGGAAUAUAAAAAUAAGACGAGAAGACCCUAUGGAGCUUAAAUUAAUUUGCUCAACAAAAUUUAAAUUCAGCCCAACAGGAAUAAUUAUAAUUUAACUGAGCAAUAAAUUUUGGUUGGGGUGACCUCGGAGUAUAACAAAACCUCCGAGUGAUUACAACUAAGACAUACUUGUCAAAGUUACAUAACUUAUUGAUCCAAUCAUAUUGAUCAACGAAACAAGUUACCCUAGGGAUAACAGCGCAAUCCUAUUUGAGAGUUCAUAUCGACAAUAGGGUUUACGACCUCGAUGUUGGAUCAGGACACCCAAAUGGUGCAGCAGCUAUUAAAGGUUCGUUUGUUCAACG